ACGCCAACAGUUGCCAGCUCGUCCUCCGGGGAUGGAGGGGGACGACUGUUGGGACCGCCUCUGCUAAAGAGGAGGAAGGAAUGGGCAACGGUAGGUCAGCAUGCCCCGAAUUAAUUGGGCUACACGCGGGCUACAAUGGGUGGGACAAUGGGUAUCGACACCGAAAGGUGAAGGCAAUCUCCUAAACCCAUCCGUAGUUCGGAUUGAGGGCUGUAACUCGCCCUCAUGAAGCUGGAAUGCGUAGUAAUCGCGUGUCAUAAUCGCGCGGUGAAUACGUCCCUGCUCCUU
rnacentral:rRNA from 1 species